CGAUCUGUUGCGGACAGAUGAAAUGGAUGUGGCUGUCAAAGCCGCCAGCGGUGAUGAUCCGCCCCUCGCCCGCGAUGGCCUCGGUUCCCGGACCGACGAUGAUAUCGACGCCGGACUGGGUGUCGGGGUUACCGGCCUUGCCGAUCUUGUGGAUCACACCGUCCUUGAGGCCGAUGUCGGCCUUGUAGAUACCGGUCGCAUCCACGAUCAGGGCGUUGGUGAUCACCGUAUCCACGGCCCCGCCCGCGCGCGGGACCUGUGAUUGGCCCAUACCGUCGCG
rnacentral:sRNA from 1 species